GAAAAGAAUGUCAGCGUACCUCCGGAACAUGUUACACAGCAUUUCUGUGGUACGAUAGCGACCACUCUCUUUCUCAACGAGUUCAAACGUGCGUGCCAGAUGCAAGUAUGGUGCUAGUUCAUCGGCUUUCCAGCAAGCUAGCACGAAAAGAAAAGGAGAGACAACUAAGCUUAGACAUAAGAUAAUAGAAAACUAUACCGUGGUGGACAGGAUCAUAGCUGCUGAGUGGUAAUGCUACGUAUGUUGCUCUAGAGCUUUCUUUGGGUUGUGAUAAUCGACCACUUGAAACGUUUCCAUCCAGCCUGCCUUCGCUCAUGUCAUCUAUUGUUUCCACCGCCACUGCUGUCGAAGGAUCUUGCAAGUUCUCCUCGUUACAAUCUUUCAAUGUUAUAGCUGGUACCUCUGAGAUGUUGGCGGAAUUGAAAUGCAAGUCUAGUGCUGCCGCGAUAUCCCCGCCUCCCUUUUCUAGUAAAGCCAACGCUGAAGGUUCAGACACCUCUAACAUGGUGACUAGCUGCUUCACCUUUUGAUCAGUUGUCGUUCCAGAGCUCCUACUUUCUGUUGCUUCGGACGACGCGGAUUCUUUCUUGAAGAACGAAAGAAGAGACCUUUGGCCGCUGAUUAAUGAGUUCUUCGUCUUACUUUUAGAUCCUCUAGACUUGUUUGUAGUUGGAACUUUCGUUGGUCUACCGGGAGGCGGUGUUGCUGGAGGAUGCUUCGGCCCUUUAGCACUCUGAGAACUACAGGAUCUCAGAGUGAUCGUUGUGCCUGUGUCCUUCCGUUCUGGUGAAGCUUGCUGUUUGCAAAAAAGAGCCACCGCGGCAUUAAGGUCUCCCGAUGCUUCCAAGAGCAGCUUCUCAAUCUGUGUAUCCGAGACCGACUCAGGCAGGACGCUCUUUAGCUGCAUUUUCGUCUCGAUAUUCUCGUUGCUUAUAUCGUUGCUUCCAUCGUUCUGCUCAAAAUCUUCCCUGCUCCUCCUCCUGGCAUUACGUCCAAAGGCAGUCAGAUGCUCGCUGCAAUCCUCGUUUUCUACCUCCGGUGUUUUAUUCGUCGCUUUCCUGUUAAAGCCUUUAAGGAACUUCCUCUUGCUUCCAGUCUCGUCCACGAGAUUACGAAAGUGUUUCUUCAUAGCGUCCGCGGUCUUGCUGUCCAUGCCUUUGUCAUCAAGCCCGACCGUCGGAAAGACUUCUCUUGGCCUUAAGAAUCCCACGUACUCCCUCAGCUCUUCAUAGUUAGAAUGCUCGCUGUAUGGCACCAGAUGAAUUUCCAGUGAGCCCCUUUUCCUCACUGGAAAAGUUGCCUCGUGCGUCCAGCCCGUUGGAACGAAACCAACCACACGAUCAACCUUGUUUUCCAGGCACAACAUCUCCAUAUUGCUGAAGUUGGGACGGAAGAACGGCCAAGUCUCCCCAAGAACAUUCCAGCCUACGACAUGCACGGAGCUCCGUGCUUGAUCGGUCGUGAAGCAAAGCAUUGCCUGCUCUCCCAAAUCCAAGCACUUGAGCAACGCGAGCUUCUUCUCGUUCACGUAAAUCAUGCACUUGCACCUCUCAGCCACGGCCAACAAAAUCUUCUCCUUCCCAAUCACGUACGUGGAUAUCAGGAACAGCGUGCGCUGCUGGCUUCUCUCCUCUUGCAGCAUCAUCCUCUCGAUGGUCUCUGCGAUAUAGCUGAUUGACUCUUCCUGUGCUGGAAACACGAACUUUGGAUUGCAGUAAGUGGUGUCCAGGAACACGGCAUCGGCUCCAACAAAGUUGCAAAGCGAGGCAUCCUCCUUCAUCACCGGCGUAAACCUCAUAUCCCCCGUAUGAACAAACCGAGUUCCGUGCUCGGGGACCUCCACCAAGAACUGCACAGCCCCGGGGCAAUGAUUCGCAUCCACCAGCGUCACUUGGCACUCGUCAAUCCAGAUCACAGAGUUCAUCGCAAGCUCCACCACGAAAUCCCGGCGAACACCCAGCGCCCCCACCACCAAGUGCCCGGUCACCUGCGAGCAGAAGAUCAUCCCCUUGUCCCACGACGGCGCCAGCCCGGCGUAGUGAUCGCCGUGGAAGUGCGUGAGGAAAUACGCCCUGGACCAGUCCCCAGCACACUGCGCCCCGAGUCCAUCCACCACGAAUCGAGUACCUGGAAUGCGCUUGUGGAAGGGAAAAUCCGAUGGAAAUCUCGAAUAGCUGUGGCCGCCGCCGCCGCUGGCGCCAUCGCCGCUGGCGCUCGCGCGGCGCCAGAGAUCGAGCGAGGAGAGCGCUACCAUAGACGUCGCUAGGGCAACUUCAUAAACCCUAACUUUUGAAAGUUUCCCGCCAUUAGGGUAACUCUAUAAGUUUUGAGUCAGUUUAGUGUUUGAAAAAGUUCUACAAUCGAUUGCGAAGCUCGCGAUGGUGCUUCACGAGAUUGAUCUUGCCAUCCAGGAAAACGUCCCGCGAGAUGGUGCCGGAGCUAUGGUACCCACCCACACCGUCGAAGACGAUGAGGUACCUCAGCGCGACACUCUUCUCGUGCUCCUUUGGGAUGACAUAGUAAUGGCUGAGGCUCACCGGCGCGAACACCUCAAUCACCCCAACGCACGACGUCCCAGUGCCAAAUCUCCCAUACCCAGCCCCACUCCCGCCGACGCUGCAGUAGCCCCGGGACAUCGCGAGUGUAGUGGCUGCAUAGAUUCCCAUCCCGGACGCCGCCCCGGUCGACAUGUAGCGCGUGUUGCUCAUGGAUCGCACGCCGUUGCGGAGAAUCGAGUACCAGUUAUAAGUCGGGCUGCCGUGAAACGCAAAGAACGAGGCCGUGGAGGAGUCUAGAACCGCCUCCUGCUCGGGCGUGUCGUAGAGCACCACAAAUUGGUCCGAGCACGCAAUGGGCAGCCGCUCCUGUUCGCCCAGAUGCCGCAAGCUCAGCCGGUCCGUGGCGAGGCAGAAGCGCAGGAGCUUGAGCGGGAGCCUCUCCGGUUUGCCAGCCGCCGCGCACCGCUGCCACUCCUCCUCCAGCAGCGCCACCACCUCGGCCUCGCUCGAGCACUGCGCCAGGCGCUCCACUGGCGGCACCGUCUCGAGCGCCUGGGACACCAGCCCGACCAUCUUGUUGGCGAAGUUGGGGGACUUGUUCAUGGAUCCAAACCAGCCGUUGCUCUCCCGUAGCUCCCUCUCCUUGAGCAUGAAGCUCGGGAAUGGCUCCAGCACGUCCCGGGUCGUGGACAGCGACGCGAACUUCAUGAACGCCACCUCCAGCUCCACCACCGCCGGGCUCGCGCGCACGGCUUCCAGGACGUUGGAUCCCAGCCCGGUCUCCUGGCACGUAAACUGGCACAGAUCGUUGCUGCACGGCUGGACCUUGAACGUCGAGGCCGGGAGGAGCCUGUAGCAGAACGGGCAGCUCUCCCACAGCAUAUCCAGCUGCAGCGCCAUGAAGGAGACGAGGCCGAGCACCGGGUUCUCGCGCGCCGCCGCCUGCUGGAGCUGGCAGCUCAUGAUAUAGUUGCUCCACUCGCCUCGGCUGCCCAGGCAGUAGAAGUCACAGAACACUCUCACCAGGUCGGGGAGCAUCGUCGAGAGCGCGUACGAGGCCUUCUCCGCCUUGAGCUCGCCGCCCUGCGUCACCUCUACGCUCCGAGGAUAGAAGCUCUUCUUGGGAGCCAGCCGCGCGUUCCCCCACACCGACUCAAACUUGAGAAGGAUCUCCAGCGGCUUCUCCGUGACGAGGCCGUAGGCGUGGGCGAUCCUGGCGUUGAGAAGACCGAUCCGGAGCGCCACCUUGAUGCCAAUCUCCACCGCCACCCUGCAGUGCUUGAGCGCCGGGUCCGCCUCGCAGGCGCUCGCCGCUGCCACCGCCAGGCCGUAUAGAGAGCUCGGGGACCGGGAGAAGAACUCCGAGUUCUCGUCCACGAAGUCCUCGCCCUCGAAGAUCCCAACCCUGUCCUCGUCGUCCUCGUCGUCCUCGUCACCGCCACCAUCGUCGUCCGCCACCUUUUGCCUCUUCCUCCUCGCGUCCAAACCCAUGAUCGUGGCCAGUAGCAUGUCUAGAACCGUGUGGAGCUUGGCCGGUGCCAAAUCCUGGAGCUUCGAGUUGAGAUCUCCCAAGAGGUCCUCGAGCUCGUCGGCCACCUCCACCCCGAUCACCAGCGCCGCCGGCAUCAUCACCACCAUUUGCAUACUCCCAAUCUCCACGGCCACCGAGUACUCGCUGCCAUGGUUCUCGGCUAUUCUUACGUUGCAGUGGAUCGCGUCCAGCUCCUGCUGGUUCCGUGACGUCCAAUCGCUCAGCCACUCUUGAGCCAUCCAAAAACCUUUAAACCCUAGAAGUUCAGCAAAUUUGACCAUUAUUCUCGUCAGCGCACACUGGAUCUCAUGCUAAAGUCGAUGGUGUUGAAGCAAAAUGGAUGCCCGAUCACUGCGUUCCUGCGCACGAUCUCUUCGUGUUGAAGAGAAAAAGCAAAGCAAAGACGCAAGCUUACUGGCGAGGGCCGUAGAUUUUGAUCUGCCGGAUGUGAGUGUCUCUUCCGUUUUGAUGAUUCGAGAGCACGGCCAAUUGGACUAGAAAAGCUCGCAGGUAUUCCCUGAAGAACACAGAAUCCCAAAUCUAGAAGAAGAAGAAUGGCGGAGAGAAAGAUUUCUUACUUGGAGUCUGUGGGACACAACGAGACUUUCACCCAUCCAACUGGCUCCGCGAGCUCCACCAUUUUGAUCUCCUUGGAAGAGGAAGAGAAAAGAGAGAUUUUGUUGACACAGUCGAGACGAAGAACGAAAAGUAAACAUACCCUCAAGUCAUAGAAAGAAUUUCCAGUGCGCACCGAGAUCUUGUUGGGCGUGUAGCUCUCAUCCAGCUUGAAAUCCACGUAAAUCGCCAGCAGCUGCAAGCGCACCUUCUUCUGGAACUGGAUGUUCACCAAAUGCGGCUGCGCGCCAUCGGAUCUAAGAACCCCAGCGAUCAGAGACGGGGAAAAUGCGCAAGAACACAAUACCCCUACUGCCAGUAGGUCUCCAGGCUCGCAUCGCGCAGCAGAUCGACGCCAUUCCCGGGCUUGGCGGAGCUCACGCUCCACACAGCCAGCUUCCCGAUCUCCCGCCGCUCGCCUUCGUCCUCGUCCUGCUGCAUUAAGCGCCGGAUCUUUUUAGGGUUCUUGCGGAUCUUUAGGGUUCUUGGAGGAGGAGCAGCGAUGGUGUGCAUCCGGCAGGCGACAGUGGACGAUCUCCUGGCGAUGCAGAGCUGCAAUCUUAUGUGCCUGCCGGAGAAUUACCAGAUGAAGUACUACUUCUACCACAUUCUCUCGUGGCCGCAGCUCCUCUACGUGGCCGAGGACAACAAGAAGAUCGUCGGGUACGUCCUGGCCAAGAUGGAGGAGGAGAGCUCCGAGUGCCACGGCCACAUCACGUCGCUGGCGGUGCUGCGCACGCACCGCAAGCUAGGGCUGGCCACCAAGCUCAUGAGCGCCGCGCAGCGCGCGAUGCAGGAGGUUUUCGGGGCCGACUACGUCUCGCUCCACGUCCGUAAGAGCAACCGCGCGGCAUUCCACCUCUACACCGAGACGCUGGGCUACAAGAUCAACGACAUCGAGGCCAAGUACUACGCGGAUAGCGAGGACGCCUACGACAUGCGCAACAUGUUCCACAAGCCCGGCAAGAGCAAGGCCGCGGCGCUCAAGGACAAGGACUCUGGCGGGAAGAAGCCAUCGCCCACUUCGGUCGAGAAGGAGAAGGAGAAGGAGAAGGAGAAGGAGAAGGCGUCCAAGGCGCCCUUGGAGAAGAAGCCACACUCCAAGGACAAAGACAAGGAUCCGGAAGGAGGAGGGGCGCCGACCAACACGAAUUCGCGAAGAGGUCUCAAGGCUGUAGAUUGAUAAACGAGGAGCUCGAGAGCUCAGUGAGCUUGGAGCUUGGAGCUUGGAGUACAAGGUAUUUUUUUUAUUUGAUCUCUCAUUCUCACAGCCGAGCUCGCGCAAAACACACACAACACUCCAGAAACUUACUUCUAUUCGUCACACUCCAUGGCUGGCCGGGGCUUAUUCAUCCUCCAUCCACCACCUUCUAUGCCUGGGAAUCACACCUCCUGGUCGCAGGAUUAUACAUCUUCGGCACCAGGAACUGCCGCUUGCGAUAGCCGAAGACGUUGAAGCUGGCUCCGGUGGUCUUGUUCCGCAGCAAGUCGUCCGGGAGAGCCUUCCUGUCCUUGCAGAAGCCCACGGCCUCGCUCAUCACAUUCUUCCCCUGGAGCGAGUAGUAUCCGUUCAAGAACGGAUUCGUGGCCACCGACGACAGCAUCUCGGCAAUGUUGACGAUCAUACCAUCGAUCCCGACGUCCCCGUUUGGCGGAACGAGCCCCUUGACUUGCUGCGGCGGCGGUGGCGGCUUCUUUCCUUCUUUCUUUGGCGGCGGCACGGGCUUCGGCUUGGAGCUCCCGAAAGGCCAGCUACAAGUUGCCGGGCAUCGCUUCUCGGUGUUGGCGAUCCAAGCGUAAGCAAGGCCUUUUCGGUCGGUGGCGGACUGGGGAACCACGAACGAGUGCUGUCCGCAAAACUGCUUGCACAGGCCUUUCACUUUGACGUCGUCCGCGAGGAGCAGUAGAUAGAUUCCCUGGGGAUCGGUCGGGAAGUGGCCCAGCAAGCGCAGGAUCAUCGUCUCAAUCUGCGUCAAGUUGAGCUCCUUUCCCAUGGAGUAGGACUUGUCUCGGACCUCCCGUCCCCGCCUCACGAGUCGUCCCACGGUAGCGCCCUUCCGGUUGACGUAGCUUUUUGUUAUCUCCCACCAUCGUGCGACCGUCGGAGACGCUGGAGGCCUCUCGGACUUGAAUGCUGGCUGAUGCUCGGGUAACGGCGAUGGCCUUGGUGGCUUCGGUGGAGACUUCUUCGGUGGUAGUGGCAGCGGUAGCGAUGGAGGUGGCGGAGAAGGCGGAGGUGGAGAUAGCGGUGGUGGAGAAGGUGGAGGAGGAGACGGAGGUGGUGGAGAAGGUGGUGGCGGAGGUGGAGGUGGGGAGGGAGGUGGUGGUGGUGGUGGCGAUUUAUUCGACUUUGGAGGAUUCUUUAGUGACGGAGGCGGUGGUGGAGGUGGAGAAGGAGGUGGCGGUGAUGGCGGCGGCGGCGGUGGUGGCGAUUUGAGUGGCUUUGGCAGCGGCGGCGGUAGCUUCUUCUCUUGCGACUGGAAGGACCUGAGGAAGGACCUGAUAGUUCUUCUCUGCGCCUUUGUGAAGUUGCCGUAGAACGUCACGUAAAUGGAGAUGGUGUUGUUCUGGCCGACCAGGAUGGGUCCAUCGUGAAAUGAGAGGCCGCUGGGGCCUUUCACUCGGCCAAUCGGCUGAGCCUUGAGCUUGCUGCUAUCCCAUGGCGAGGCGGCCGCUAUCUGGACAAGAGCCGGGAGUACGCAUGCCAGAUACAAGAGCAGGCUCGUCAUCCUUUUGCUGGCAUGAGAGCAUCCCUCCUUUCUAGUAGUCCACUUAGCAUCCUUGUCAGCUUGCCGUUCACAAGCUCGUUGCGGAGUAACUGUCAAACGGUAGUUACGGGUAGCGGGACCAAGGAAAAAACAGAAAAAAAAUUGCAAGCAGCUAUAAAAACUCACAUUUCAGAUGUUGUGAAACAAUCUCGGACUUCUUCCAUCCGAUGCUCUGCAGUGUGGCGCUGAUUGAAUCGUCCAACCGGAGCAGCUGAGGUGGGAUAACAGUCUCCACACAAAUCGUAGCCAACUUUCUCUGGACAGUCUAUACAUUUGUAUCUUGAACCGAUAAUUGGCAAGACCUGCGAGCGACUGUCAGUCCAUGCCAACUUCCGAUGUAAAAUCUAAGAAGCUUACCCCACAGCCAUCACAACCUGCACCCCGGUGGACAUGGCAAGCUUGUUUGUUGCUACCAUCCUUUGAUGAUGCUGCGGCAAUGUCAAUGUUAGCGAUAGCGGCAUAUCAACGAAAAAGAAACGAACAUGAGCGUGAGCAUGUUGAGCUCGAAGCCCGGGUCGAGGCUUCCGUCGUCUCAACUUCCUUAAGCUUGUCUUCUCUUUGUUUAUACUCCGCGGGAAACGUCUUCUGUAUGUACUCGUUUAGCUCCAGGCAAACUUGCACUGGAAAAAUCCUUUGUGGCAUACCGCAAGACGGGCACUUGGGACUUUCACCUUCGACUGGGGCCCUCAGACAGCUUUGACAAAACGCUGUGCCGAGAAAACGAACAAGUUAGAAGCAAAAAUAAACAAUGACAAGGAUUGAUCUCACCGUGUCCGCAAUUUAAGACGACUGGACGGUAUAUCAGCUCCUUGCAGAGCUCGCAAGGCAGGUCGGAUGCCUCUAUAGCUCCAUCAAUGCUUUUUUCAAUCACUUCUUCAGGAGAAAAGUAUUCCAUCUCGCUCUCCAUCUCUUCAAGAACAAAAAAAGAGCUUCAAAUGAGAGCAUUGAUAAGAGAAAGAAAAGAAACCUAAAGCGUAAGGCUAGAAUGGAUUGCCACUCACCUAGUAUCUCUUUCCUUCGCUCCUCGUACGCCUCGCGAAAUCCAGCUCCCAGCAAGCGAUGGAGGAGCCCGCAAAUCCUCGGGAACUGCGUGUACUCGCAUCUACACAUCGGGCAGCGCGAAGGGCCGGAUCCAUUCAUCGCGUAAUCGACACACCAGAAGCAAAAGAAAUGGCCGCACGCUGCAAUGGCAACAAGAGAUCACAAAGAGAAUCCAUGGAAAGAACAAACCGACCUUGGACGAUAGGUUUGAAACAAAGCUCCCUGCAAGGAAGAAAGCAUGAGAAGAAAUCCCCCACCGCGCAAUCGAAUCGAUCUUACAAGCACAUCGCGCACUGGAAAUGCGGCCAAUCCUCCAGCGCCUUGGGAUCGAGUGCCGCGUAAGCGUCCAUCUCCAUUCACAACCCUGCCCUAGUUUUUUGAGGACACGACUUCUUGGAAUAUCUGUGUUAUUCCCAUUUCUUCUUCCUAUUGGAGAAAGUAGCCACUGAGGAAGAGGAUAAAGAAGAAGACGAGCGAUCCAUAGAUGAGCAAGCUCUUCUGGCCGGAUGUGAGAGUGUUGGUGCCAAAUCCAUAGCUCUGGUUCUCGGCGAAUCCGGCCACUUCCACGCUGAUGCUAUUGAAGUAGGACUUGGCGGCGCCGCAAGUGGAGCAUCUCCAAUCCUCGGGCAGCUGCGCGAAUUCCACUCCUGGCGCGAUGGGGUAGGAUGGAUCGCCCACGGUUUGAUCGUAGACGUAGCCGCAGGAGCGGCAUUGGUGCUUGCCCAGAUCGCGGACGGCGAAUUUCUCCUCUGGAGAUUGAUUGGGAUCGUUCUUGGAACUGGGGGAAGAAGAUUAUCGAUGCUUACCUCUCCUCCGAUCCACAUUCUCCAGCGGCAGCGCCAAAUCGAUCUCGCUAUCGUCCUGCUCGCUCGCUACCACAUCGUUGUCCACCGCCCAUCGCCGGAUUGCUACGAGGCGGGAUUUCUGGAGAGGCCGGAUGAUCGAUCGAUGCGCACUAACCUGGAUGAUCGAUCGCGAUGCUGGAUGGUGGGAUUUGUGGACCACAGGAGUGGGAGGAUGAUCGAGGAGCGUGGCCGCCAUAGCUCUCCCAGACCUCAAAUCCAUGACGUGGCAAAUGUGGUGGUCUAGCUAGUGCCACGUGGCAAGAGGAAUUUAGGCCAAGUGGAUUAGGGUUUUUCGGGGGUUUUAGGGCUCUUCGGGCGAUGAUAGAGAGAGAUCUCCAUCCAGGGCAGAUCCUAUGGCGGAAUAUAGUGACGAGAAGCAGGGAUUCCAAGGCGUUCUUGGUCGGACUGAUGGGAGCGUGCAUUGUGGUGCCGUGGGCGGUCGCGGAAGGAUUCAUGUGGGGCGCCAAGCGCAACCAGGCCAAGCUCAAAGAAGAGCUCCGCCACGCGCCCUUCAAUAUGACAGAGGUGAGAGAUUUUAGAUCUAGUUUCGAUCGAUUUCUCGCAAAGUCUAGCUCCAUUCCUUGCCGCAUUCCCUCGGUCUUGUCCAGUUUUGAUUGAAUCCGAGAGGAAUUUGUAGGAAGUGACCAGCGCGAACAAGGAGAGGAUCGAGCAGCUGUUUGACGACAUCAAAUACAAGCGCAAUCUAAGCGAUCGCUACUUGAAAGCGAAGAAUCCUCCACGAACACGAGGAAAGACUACCACAGUGCCAGAGCAAGAAGAUCCAAAGCUAUGAUCUUAGUACAACUUUUUGUUCUUGAUAAAAUGAGGGAAAAAGAAAGUUUUCCACUUUGCAUCUGUUGGAGACAUGGGGUUUUGAUCCCCAGACCUUUCGCAUGCUAAGCGAAUGCUCUACCAACGGAGCUCUAUCCCCGACUCACGUACACGUGUAUGCGACCAUUUCCCCUCGGCCCUUUUCAUCAAAUCAAGGUCACUCUGUCACACACUAUUUGAAUUAUUGUUAUGAGUUCCAGCAACUGUGAGAUGAUAUAUCACACAUUUUUAUUUCAUGAACAUGAUUGCUUCACAGUCUUAGAAUUCAGACUAUCAUUGUCACAUGUCACUUGCUACAUUGUCACAAUGUCAUGCGAUAGCCAUACGCAUCCGCGAGAGAGGACUCCACCGUGUUGAACAGGAACUCACAGCCGUCGUAUGCAAGCGUGAUGCUUGGAUUUCUUUCCCACAGUCUUGUAGAAAUAGAAAGAACCACUUGUCUGUAGUUUCCAAAUGAUCCAUAGUUUAUGAACAUGUAAGAAUGAUAACAAACAAUGGCCGAGAACAAAAAAGACUUCGCAUGAUUUACUCGAAAUCUUGGGGUUGGCUGCUUGCAAAGACGUUCCACACGAUGGCUCCUGUCACGUAGAAGAAGAUUGAAGGGAGAAACAACGAGAGCUGAGGAGGAAAAGAAAAACUUUGAGCCUCCUUGAGCAUCUGGGAAGUGCUUGAAAGGCUUCGCUUACCGUCCAGGAACCGGUUUGAUCGAAAAUGUAACCGGUUGCCGCAACUCCUACCACUCCAGGAAUUGCACCAGCAGUAUUUGUUAUGCCCUGUGUGAGAAAUGCUUUGGUUUAGAAAGGAAAAAAGAAAGGAGAUGAUUUGAUUCCAUACCAAAAGAAUGCCGGCGUACUUCCGUGAUAUAUCUUGGUGUGUACAGUAAAGCCCUGGCAACACUGUUAGCAGCCGAAGAAACAAGGAAAAUGACUACCAGAUACCUGACAGCGCGAAACUUGACAAUCCAAUACCACCGGUUAGAAGCAGUAUGACCGACCACGGUGGUAGACUAGGAACCAAUGAGACAAUACUCAUGGAAGCUGAUGGAGAGAGAAAAGCGAUGCUUUGGCAGAUUUUUCUCACCUAGAAACAUAACAGUGCUAGUCAGAGGGACAAGAAAGAGAACACCAAACUUACCACUGUGGUGCUUAGUCCAGAUGUGAUCAUGCUAUCAGCCCAGACAGCCGCAAAGCUUGUUACUGGAACAGAUGCUAGAGGAGGAAGAAUUGAUAUCUGUACUUUCAUUAAUCAGCCAUUUUGAUAGCAAAAGGAAAAGCUCUCACCAGUGCUGCAUUAGUCAGAUUCAGGUGUAGCUCAUCACUGAUAUAAAAAGUCAGUACACAUUGGUUUUUCUACAGUUUAACGCACCUGACAAAUGUCGGCAUCCAGGAAAGAAGUGUAAAAUAUCCCCAAUUUCCACAGAAAUGGGCAUAAAUCAUCGCCCAGACUGGUGGACUUCUGAAAAAAGCGCUCCAAGGGACCUGUGACGAAACAGAAAAGAUGAUUACGGCGUCGAACGAAAUGUUCCUAACCUUUGACGGUUGUCCAGUCUCAUUGUCAGCAGCUGCUUGAUCUGUCUCUGCAAAAAAUGGUGUUUACAUCACUCAGAACGCUGUAUACUUGUAUUUACCUGAAUCGCAUCCUUCCGGAUUGAACAGAAGGCACCUGGUCAAACACACGUCAACAAAAGUUCAAAGGCUUGUUCCAUACCAGAAAAGGCCGAGCAAACCAAAGACGUAGAAAACAGAUUGCCAUCCAAAGUUUUCAAUGAAAACAGGAGCGAAAAGCAGCCUGGUUUGCAAGAUUCCAUAAGUUACGCAUUAGAGAGGCACAAAAGCUCACCCCGCUAUACUUCCAACGCUGAGGCCACCGAAAAUAACAGAGACCGCUCGCGAACGCUCGUUCGCACUUACUGUUCUACAUUCACACAUGAAAAACAAACAGUUACUGAUAAUGUUACGUAAUUGUACCUUGCUACGAGAUCGGUAGCGGCUGAAGGAGACACGCCUUCGCCGACACCGACCUGUCAAUUCCGGAAUCCAUCACUCUUUGUCAGAGAAAGAAAAACUAUGCUAGAAUGGAAAACAUACCAUCACCCGGCUUGCCAGAAUUAAUGGUAGAUAUCGGGCUGAAAGUGGGACAGCCAUAGUUGCCAACGACCAAAGAAAGACACCACCACGCAACACAUAUCUAGUACCAAACGGCAGGGAAAAUAAAAAAAGAAACGGAGAAUAUAGAGCCUUACUUUCCAGAAAAUUUACGUGAAAGCCAUCCACCAGGCAACUGGCUGAAAGCGUAUCCCAGAAACAGCGACGACUGAACUAAUCCAGAAGUUGUUGCCGGCCAUCCAAACUGCUGCGACAUCGGUAUAAUAGCUACACUCAAGUUCACCUUGAAACAAACAAGUAAAUAUCGUUAAGUCAGCGAUAAAAUUAAUCAGCGAGAAACUGAGAGGUACCUUGUCCAUGUUGCAAAUCACGAACGCGAGAGAAGCCAUGAGAAUGACCCUGUACUUGGGUUGAUUCCAAGAAACACUAGCAGUAUCUGUGGACGAAGGUAUUGCAGUAAUUUCAUCUUCUUUAUCCUGUGAGACACAAUGGAAUCUCAGCCCUGAGCCGUUCCGGAGUCUGAGAUGCUUUGUACUUAAAGGGCUAGACUGCGGACAGAUACUCAUCUUGGUCGCGACUCGAGGUAGCCCAAGACACAAAGCCACUGCUGCCAUUGACGGACCUUUUAUCUACAGACCAUAGCUGACCUUCUAAACUCUUUGGUUACACAGACUGGGGGCGUUUCACUGUUGCUUUACAGUCAGUGAGGGCUGGCCCCGAGGCAGCCUCUUUGCAAUCUCCUGUAUGUUUCUGAGAGUUAAAAAGGGAUUCAACAAAAGACCUUAGCGUACCUCGAAGAGCUCGUUAAUGUUGCCGGCGGUUUUCGCCGACGCCUCCGUAAAGAACAUGGAGUUGCUCUCUGCAUAAGCCCGAGCUUCCUGUAGAUAGCAUGUUGUGAGAGCAAUUUUGAACUGCCAGCUUGAACAUACAUCUGUUGAAACCGUGCGCAAGUUGUCAAGGUCGGCCUUGUUCCCAACAAGCGCAAGAACUAUCCCUGCGUUCGCAUGUUUUUGUAGCUCCUACACGAAAAUAAACGAGCAACCAUAGUUAAUGACAAACACGCAAAAUGAAAAGCAAGGGUGGAACCUUGACCCAGUAUUGAGCUUUCUGAAAUGACUCCUUGCUGGUCAGGUCGUAGACUACCACCGCUGCAGAAGCUCCCCUAUAGUAAAGUGGUGCUAAUGAAGCAUAUCUCUCUUGUCCUGCGGUGUCCCAUAUCUCAAACUUAACUGUGCUCGAGUCUUGGAGAGCUAUAGUUUGCGACAAAAAAGAAGCACCAACAGUAACCUGUAGCACCAUAUCAAAAUAAUAAACACAUUAAAAGCACUACUUGCCUUUGAUGACGGAUCAAACUGCCCCCUUACAAAGCGCAGAACAAUGCAGCUCUUUCCCACUCCGGAGUCGCCGAGAAGAACCAGCUGAUUGUAGAGAGUUGGAUCAAUUCACAGCACAGGCUUUCCAACUCACCUUGACCCGUAGGUGUUUAGUAUCUUGCGAUCCAUUUUCCAGAGAACCGUCACUCAGAUGUGGCAAACCUUUAACUGGAGAAAAAGGAAAUCAGCUUCGAACUUGGAGCUCACACAAAUAGAUCGCAUAAAUUGACGAUUUGGGUACAACCAUCGAAGGAGCAAAACAUACCGGGUCUAGAAGCCGCACACCCCAUCGUCGUCCUCCGGAGCUUAAGAACCUAUGGAAUAUGCUGAUCUCUCACUGGAGUUUAAGUAGUUCCGAAAUAGUCACGACCGAAUAGCCCUUUCGUUUAAGCUCGGGGAGAAGUACCCUUAGCACCUGAAACCAAACUCGUGAUCGAAACUAGGAAAAAGGGUAGUACCUCCGGAGUCUGUAUCUUCUGCUGUUCCCUGUCGUGAAGAACGAUAAUAGCACCGGGAUGAACCUACAACUUUCCACAAUAAAGGUUUAAGGACCAUCUGGAAAAUUGACACAUACCCUCCACAAUAGGUACUUGGCAAUCAACUUUCCUUUGUUCCUGAACAACGUGUCGAGAGGAUACAGAGAGCCGAGUACCAAUUUGUAGCCGUACCCCUCGACAAGAUCUAUCAUUUCUCGAGUGUAGAAGCCGUGUCCCUGCACGAAAAUUAUGAUUGAUCAGUGAACGAAGAAGCUUGAGUUACAUACGGGUCGAAACCACUUCCACGGUUUUCCGUCCUCGCCUUUACGGAAAAAUGGAUUGAGCCGUCUCUCUGUGGCAAGAAGCUGGGCAGUAAACUCCUCCUGCAUGCACACAAAUGCUUCAACUUACACCUAUAAAAACGAGGCAUACCGGAGAGAGACGCCAGGAAGCACAAUCGUACAUGGUGUGGUUCCCAACCUCAUGCCCUGUAUCAUCCAACGUGAUGAAAAGCAAAGCUAUGGCGACGCACCUUCUUUGUAAAUUCUCUCGACCACCUCUGGGCACUUGUCCAUAUUACUUCCUAUCAGGAACCACGUCGCUUUGCUGUGGUUUUCCUCAAGAAUGUCCAGUAGCUGAAACACGAAAAUCCCUUGGGACGAUUUAGCUAAGAACAUGUCACAAAGAAAAAAAAAAGAAAAAUCUCUCCACUCACUCAAGAAAAACUAGUUUACUACCUCGUGUGUAAUGUCUCUGUGAGGCCCAUCGUCCAGAGUGAGCGCGACCAGAAGCUCUGGACAAAAUCAAGCAAUGUGAGAGUGCUAGGGAAGGAAAGAGAAGAGCAGACCGUGCUUUUCUCGUCCUUGAUCGAGAAACAAGACUCUUCGCUGCCUCGUUUGCACGAUCCUGACGAGCCAUGUCGGGUGAACGGCGAGCCUGGAUUCACAAGAAGGAUGAGCAACGAAAAGAGCUGCCUAUGAUCGACCACUCACGUAAGAAUGCCAAUGCCGGCGAUUCCAAGCGCUCCAAAUCCGAGGGUAAGCGUCGCGGCGGCCACUCCCCCUUGUGGCCACAUUCUCUUUUCUUCCAAGAUAUUAGGGCUCUACGAGGAAAUGGCGCUAUGUGGCAUUCCGCUGACAAUUCUAGGGCUCCUCUAGCGCCGAUGGAUGCGGCGAGCGAAUGUAAGAAUCUGUGCCUCUCGCCUGCUCUCUUGUGAUCUUUCUCUCUGCAGAGCGAGCACACAACCAAUCUGGCAGAGCAGCAAGAUCGAGGAGAAUCGUUUGGUAUCCAGGAGUUUCGAUGGCACUGGGUUCGCCCUCGCGGCCUCGAGAGCUUGCGGCAUUCUCAGGGAUCUGGAAACAGCACGAAGGCUACACAAGGAUGCGAUCGCGAUCGACGGGAACAGCAACAUCUACAUCGCGAGCAGCUUGGUGGACAGCUACGCGAAAUGUGGGAGCCUGGUCGAUGCUCGCAGCGCCUUCGAAGCUAUGGAUUCCCGCAAUGCAGUGGCGUGGACGUCGCUGAUCCUCGGCUGCGCGGAGAAUGGGGAGGCCGAGGCUGGCCUGGAGUUGUUCCAGCGGAUCAUCGACGAGGGCUGCGAGCCAAGCGCUCGAUCUUUCGUGGCGGCCCUCAAGUGUUGCUCUCGGCUGGCCAGGGAAGAAGAGGGAAGCCUCGAUCGUCUCCAUGGCAAGACGCGCAAGAAGCUGAGAAGCUUGGCUAGAGGCGCGGCUAUUCAUCGCUUGAUCGAGGGAUGCGUGGAUAUCUUCGUCGCGGGCAGCCUGAUCGACAUGUACGCUAGCUGUGGAGAUUUGCGGCGAGCUCGUCGCGUCUUCGACAGGAUUCCAUGCCACAACUUGGUAGCGUGGAACGCUAUGAUCCUGGGCUAUGCCGAGCAAGGUGACGGACGCUCGUCGCUGGAGCUCUACGAUCGCUUGUCUUCGGUUCCGGGGAUGGUUCCAGACGCUCGGACGAUUGGAGCUGCUCUUAAGGCUUGCUCCCUCCUAGCAGCUGACAAGCACCGCAACGAAAAGUUCUAUGAAAAGUUGGAGCAUGAAGAACACGAAGAAAGGAUAGAGCAUGAAGAACAAGAACACAGUAACGCUCUCCAGGUGAGGGAAUUGCUGGACAAAGGCAGGCAGCUUUUCUCUCGAGCAGUGGAACUCGGGUAUGGCUCGGACGUCUUCCUUCUUAACACGGUGGUGGACUUUUACGCGAAGUGUGGGAGCUUGGCCGAGGCUCGGGCGGUCUUCGACAGGAUUCCAUGCAAGACGUGCGUCUCCUGGAACGCUCUCAUGCUCGGCUACGUGGAGAACGGUCAUGCCGAGCAGGCUCUAGACUUGUUCAUGAGCAUGCCGGACGAGAUGGAUUCGACGACGUUUGCUGCGGCUUUCAAGGCCUGUGGUAGCAGAGCUUUUCUGGGAACUGGGAAGUCCAUCCACGCACAUAUCUGCCGGUGUGGAGCUGAGAAGAACCUGGUUGUGGCGACCGGAGCUUUGGAUUUCUACUCCAAGUGCGGCAACAUGGUCGAAGCUCAGCACAUCUUCGACUCCAUGCCGUCGAAGAACACCGUAACUUGGACAGCGCUCAUCGGCGGAUUCAGUCGCCUGGGAGGAGAGGAAUCGACACAGCAGGUGUUUGAUCUCUUCCGUGAGAUGCUCGACGGUGGGCUCAAGCCAGACGGUGCCACUCUCGUGCUGGUCAUUGCCGCUUGCAGCCAUGCCGGCCUGGUCGACAAAGGCCGAAAGAUCUUCGAAGAAGUUCUUCCGAGGCACUGCGUCUCUCUCGGGAUAGAGCACUACCACGCCUUGAUCGAUCUUCUGGGACGAGCCAACGAGCUCCAGGAAGCUCUGGACGUGGCGGAGACGAUGCCUUUCAAGCCCAGCUUCGUGACAUGGAUGACGCUGCUGGCCUGCUGCAAGAAGUGGGGCAAUGCAGCGAUUGGGAAGCUCGCGUUCCAGAGAUUGAUAGCGAUCGAUGCGACAGACCCCACUGCCUAUGUGCUCCUGGAGAAGAUCUACGCGAGCCAAGGAUCGUGGAAGGAGCUCGCGGAGAUCGAAGAAAUGAGGAAGAAGAAGAAAGCGAAGACCGUUGACUCUGUACGUCUUUGACUAGACCGCGUUUGACUGAAAAUUCUACGGUGCUAUGGCUGUUUCCACGACGCUUCUUCGAUAACUAGCUAAAAGCGUUUUUUACAGUGAGCUAUUUGUUAGUCCAUUCUUCGCUAGGGCUCUCUGGCGCUCCGGACUAGGGUAUACAUGGUCCUCGUGAGCUUGGCAGCUGAGAGCGCGGCGCCAGCGUGUUGAUCUGGGCAGAGCGGAGCUUCCAAUUCCACCAGUGCCGGCAGUCCGCGAGCUGAAAUUGUGAGUUUCUAGGGGCGAAGAAAUGCGCGAUAGCGCUCCUCGCAGCGAUCCUCACAAUGUAUGACAAUCGCCGUUUAAGAUUCUUUCCCUCUCAGCCAGGUAUGUGCUCUGUUGUGGAGAAGCGAUUUUUUGGAUUAAUUUUGUGUUGUUUGACAAUGUCUAUAGAGAUUGACAUCUAUCAGAUUAUACGCGAAGCACAGAACAGAUGGUUGAGGCCUCUGGAAGUGAUCGAGAUCCUCCGCAACUACCAGAAGUUCCGGCUCAACCCCGUUCCACCGAAUAAGCCUCCAAGUAUGAAUCGAUCGCUUUGAGCUUUGACUGGACAUUUAAUACUUUACAAGCAGGUGGAUCGUUGUUUCUCUUUGAUCGUAAGACACUGCGCUUCUUCCGCAAGGAUGGUCAUAAUUGGCGGAAGAAGAAAGAUGGUAAAACUGUCCGAGAGGCUCACGAGCGUCUUAAGGUAUGGCUAGAAGCUUGCUCGAAGAAUUUCUAAGAUAUUCCUAUUGUAGGCCGGUAGUGUAGAUGUUCUUCACUGUUAUUAUGCUCAUGGAGAGGACAAUCCAAAUUUUCAACGUCGGAGUUAUUGGAUGCUUGAAGGGUAAUGUCAACAAAAAGAAUAGCCGAUAGUUAUAACGACAGUUUUACAGGGCAUAUGAACACAUCGUCCUUGUACACUACAGGGAAGUCACGGAGGUACAAAGUUUUAUUUUUUACCUCUCCAUGUGUAUCUCGAAAGUCAUUUCUUUAUUUUGCACUUUCCAGGGAAGCAGAUCAUCUGUGUAUCGAUCCAUGCAAGAAGCAAAAGAGAAUGCGUCGCAUUCUCGUGCUACGGGACAAAGCCUACCUGCAUCCAAUUCAGCCAUUUCCGACGUUGAGGUGACAGGCCCCUACAAAUCCCCCGAAGCUCCUGUGACGCCCAUCGAAAGUGAAGGCACCGACUCUGGUGAAGAAGGCCACGUUAAUGAAAACAAUGUUGUGGAGCAAUCGUCCUUACUGCAGCAAGUCGCUCAAUCUUCUCCAGUCGCUCCACCUUCUACCAGUGUUCCCGUUGCAGCGGUGCCUGCUGCGGCGAAAAAUCUGGAAGGAGUGGACUAUGACGAUCUUCUACGAAAUCCUGGUAAAAUCAAUCUGUUCUCUACGCAUCAAGCUGACUGUCCUUUGUAGACGCGUAUCUUGGUCAAAAGUCAAUAGAUGCCCAGACAUGGAGUACGUUGCUGGAUAACUUCGGAGGCACCAACACAACUGAAAAAAUGGAAAGCACUUCUCAAAGCCAUUUCCUGUCUCCCGGUUUUUCAAAUCACGUGUAUAACUCCAUUACACCUACUAAUCACCCUUUUCCACCUGUGGUAAGUUGUGCUCAUGCUAUCAGUUCGUUUCCUGAGAUUUUUUUUGUAGCUUUCGACCCCGGAUUCUCAGCAUAUGGAAGUUGAUCUUCGUCAGGUGAUUCUGCAAGCCAUGCAUUUCUUAUGACGCAUUGUUUUUAUUGCUACAUAUUUUUGUGACGCAGGCUCAGUAUUCCGCACAAGAUGUUUCUAAAAAACCACAAACCGCUAUUCCGAAUGAUGCUUCCGAAUACUACAAAGUCGCUCUGCCAGACGUGUUGGUUGAAGACGAGGGGAAAACUUCGUUAAAAAAGCUGGAUAGCUUUGGCCGAUGGAUGAGCCGGGAAAUUGGAGAGGAUAGUCAGAGCUCUUUACUUUCAGGCUCUACUGACCACGCUUACUGGACACUAGACGACCAUAACACGUUCGAUGAGAUUUCAAACUUUACUCAACAAAUACAGGACGUUGGUCUUGGCCCGUCUGUCUCGCAAGAUCAGCAGUUCAGUAUCGUGGAUUUCUCACCGGAUUGGGCGUUUUCAUCAGAAGAAACGAAGGUGAAACAUUUUCCCGGUUCAGUUUUGUUGAAAAGUAUCUUAAGUUUCUUCUGUUCCUUUUUUUUUUCCAGGUUAUCGUUGCAGGGAACUUUUUGAAGAGGGGUGCAAGCCCUGUAUGGCACUGCAUGUUUGGUGAAGUGGAGGUUCCUGCAGAGACCAUUCAUGAAGGUGUUCUUCGUUGCAAGGCCCCUAUACAUUCUCCAGGAAGGGUUCCUUUGUAUAUUACUCUUGGAGAUAGGGUCGCUUGCAGUGAAAUUAGGGAGUUCGAAUAUCGUACCGCGACGAUGAAGCCUGUAGCGGGUAAUCCAGAACAAUUACAGGUUGAAGACGAGGUUUUAGAACAGCGGUUUGCAAGGUUAAUUUCGCUUAACACCGACGAAGCAACGAAGUCCGAGGAGCAGUCAGAUAAAGUACAGCUAUCGAAGAUCUUGGAACUUACUUCUGGUCUGUGGGAAGAUCCUGAGCCGAGUGAGAGCGAGGUGGGAAGUUCCACAAGAGACACCGUUCUUCAAACGCUGUUGAAGCAGCAACUUCAGAGAUGGCUGCUUGUGAAAGUUUGUGACCGGGAUAAAGGUGCUGCGGUUUUGGAUGCGCAGGGACAAAGUGCGCUUCACUUGGCAGCUGCACUAGGAUACGAUUGGGCCGUCAAUCCCAUACUGGCUGCUGGUGUCGGAGUUAACUUUCGAGAUGUCCACGGUUGGACGGGACUUCAUUGGGCCGCAUCUCGUGGAAGGUUUAUUUUCUUUUUCUCUUUUGUUUUUCCGAUCUUCUAAAGCUCGCGGAUCUUGUAGGGAGAAAGUGGUUUCGACACUUCUGGCAGCUGGUGCCUCUCCAGGACUGGUUACUGAUCCUACUCCACAAAAUUCAUCUGGACGUACUCCCGCCGACCUCGCAGCAAGCAGCGGUCACAAAGGAAUGGCAGGAUUACUAGCGGAGAUGUCUCUGACUACUCAUCUCACGUCAUUGACGCUGAAGGAGAGGAACACCGACGAAAUAGACUCGCUGUCUGCUGUUCUUGCCGAAGAGAAAGCCGUAGAGGAUUUCUCGGACAACCAAGCUGCAAAUGGUGGAACCGAUCGGUCCCUGCUCCAAGGUUCCCUCCGAGCUGUCAGAAACGCAGCCCGCGCUGCAGCGCUCAUCCAUGCAAGCUUCCGCCAAGAAUCGUUCAGGAGGCGCCAGGAGAAGAUUGGAGAAGAAAUCGACAACGAAUAUGGAAUGUCGAUGAACGAGCUGAAGGUUUUGGCUUCGCGAAACGGCGGCGCGAACCGGAAGGAACACUCGGCAGCGACAAAGAUACAGCAAAAGUAUCGCGGCUGGAAAGGUCGCAGGGACUUCCUCCUCCUCCGCCAACGCGUAGUGAGAAUCCAGGUAAAACCGUCGAUUCAGCGUCGCUUUUGGUGACUAAAAGCUUGUGCCGCUCUUCAGGCUCACGUUCGCGGACACCAAGUUCGUAGGAAAUUCAGAAAGAUUCUCUGGACGGUCGGCAUACUGGACAAAGCCAUUCUGAGAUGGCGGAGGAAGCGCGGUGGCCUCCGCCGAGCGAGCGCGCAAACUCAGAACACGGACGACGACGACGUCUUGAAAGCCGGCAGGAAACAAAAGGAGGCACAGUUCCAAAAGGCCGUGACGCGCGUCCAGUCCAUGGUUCGCUCGCACGAAGCGCAAGAACAAUAUCAAAGAAUACAGGAAGCUUACCUUCAAGCUGUGGUGAGUAGUCUCUCGUUUUUUCCUAGUUUCCCAGCAUUUCGAUCGUGGGCUUAUAGUCUCCAUCUUCAUUCGAUCUAAAACUUUUGCGUUUGCGCAGGCUGGUGACUCUCAAGCUCGUAACGAGAAUGAACGAGACGAGACAAUGCUGGGCUGACCGAAAAAACUAACAAGCAGUACUCUUAUAUCGGAUAACUUUGGUUUCCUUCUUUCGCCAUUACGUUUUAAGCUUCUUGUUUCUACUAACAUUUGAAUGCUGUCAUUUUUUGCGCGAUAUAUAUAAAUUCCACACCAAAGUUUUUCCAGACCGUUAGAUGAGCGAGAUCCGCGGCUGAAACGUUCCACGGCUACAUGCCGUCGAUAUUCUGGACGGGCGGGAUCUUUCUAACGGCCAUAUGAUGUUUGAAGUGUAACAAGAAAAAAGAAAAAGAGGGUUUUGAGGAGUCCUAUGCCACUAGAUUGGGAUCCACGCGCGCGCUAAUGCGAUCGGUCGCUGUUCUAGGUACCUGAUCGAUCGAUCUUGCGUUUCUGGUUUCUGGGAGUAGAUUAGGCGAUGGGGAGUCAUCCGGUAGAGGUAGUAGGGCGCAUUCGCGGCCAUCCCGACGGCAAGGGCGAGCAAUCGUCGGCGCUGAGUGUUCUAGCGGGCGGCAAGUCCGUCCGGCUGCGAUGCGAUCAGGGAUACAGGGAUUUUGUGCUGGAUGGAGUGUCCGUGGCCGAGGAGGAGAAUUUGAGAGCGUUCUACGCGAAAUAUGUGGAAGCCAGGGUCGAUGACGUGAGGGCCGGCGGGCGAUGCACGGUGAUGAUGUAUGGGCCGACUGGCGCGGGCAAGAGCCACACGAUGUUUGGAUCUUCCAAAGAGGCUGGAGUGGCAUACCUUGCUCUCCAUCAGAUCAUGAAGAGCAAGCUUCCAGUGCCGCACGGCAAUCGCACGAAUGUCACGGCCAAUGUUCUGGAGAUCUACAACGAGGAGGUGUAUGAUCUUCUCGCCAGUAACUGCGUGGCUAGUCCGGGGCCAAAGUCAUUAAAGCCCAUUCCAGGCCGGGUAAGUUAGUUCGUCCUACCUAGGCACCAUUCUAACUCUUUUCUUUCUUUAUUUUUGCUAGGCAAGGCUCGAGGUGCGAGGAGGAAAAGCGAAAAAUGCGACAUUCAUUUCUGGUGAAGAUCCCUCCAAGCUUGUGAACGAAAUUGCCAACGUCGAGAAGCGUCGAGUUGUGAAAAGCACCAACUGUAACAGUCGAAGUUCUCGGAGCCACUGCAUGGUAAUCUGAUUACUAGCGCGACCUCUGAUAGAUUAACUUGUCCUAGCAGGUUGUCCUGAAUGUUUCUGGAGCGGGUGGGAAGCUGAUCUUGGUGGAUAUGGCCGGCUCUGAGAAUUCUGAUCAAGCGGGAUCCAUUGGGUCGGAAGCUAAAAUACAGGUACCAAUACUAUGGAGAUUUGAAAGCUGUUGUUAAGUUUAGUUUUCAGACUGGAAAGAUAAAUCAAGGAAACGGUGCACUAAGACGGGUGGUAGAGUGCAUUGCCAACGGAGAUCCUUACAUUCCUUACCGGGACAGUAAACUCACAAUGCUUCUUCAGGUAACUUCUCAGUAUGAAAGUUCGAAUAGAUCUCAAGUACGGUUUAUCCAGGAUUCGUUUGAAGAGGAUGGCGCAAAGAUUUUGAUGAUUUUGUGCGCCAGUCCAGACGGCAGAGAUGCCUACAAGACAAUCUGCACUUUGGAGUAUGGAGCUAAAGCGAAGUGCAUCGUUCGACUUCCUUCUUCUCCACCUAAGGACAGAGCGACAUUUGCCGACGGCAUGGAAGCUGUGUUACUGGCUCGCCUUCGUCAUAAGGACGAGUGCAUUGAGAGGUUGCGCCAGGAGUAUGAUCAGAAGGAAAGGGAACGUUUAGAAAUUGCUCAGAAACUCAUCCAGCGGCAGGAAGAUUUGAAGGCACUGACGCUAAGGACCGAGAAGAUGGAGGAAGAAAAGGUGAAGAGAUUGGCGGAACUGCAAGCUGAAAUGGAACGUAUGAUGAAGGAGAAGGCAGACGAACUGAGAAGAGAAAUGGAACUUGAACUGCAACUUCAAGUUCACAAGAUUUGUCCUGAAAAUGGUCAGUAUCGACUUGCUGAGCUGGAGAAGGUAAUCCAAGAUCAAAGGCAGGAGAUUGCAGUGCUGCAUUUGAGAGCUGAGCGAGCAGAAUCUCAGGUUCAAGAGUUCCUUCAAGCAUCGAGUCAGGCGUGGGCUGAGUCCAACGACAUAGUGGAUAUGGAUUUAUCCAACAGCAUUUGCAUGUCAAGAGAUUUCACGAACGGCAGCACUGCGGAUGAUCGAGCAGGAGAUAGUUCUGUCGUAUCGGCAACACCUGCAUCAGCAGACAAUGAGCGUGGCCGGGAAGAUCAAUCGGACAAGUAUGACACACCGAAAGAUGGAGUCAACCGGAACUUGUUUGCUCUGGAUAAAGUCCACAGCGAGGUGGAGGUUCCGUGGAGCGAAAUCGGGCUUUUCAAAACAGGUUGGCUACCAAUCAUACCUGAAGAGGCGGAUGAAGAGGCUUUGAAACCUGUCGAGACUUCGAGUGGAGAUACAGGAGAAGACACGCCGCAACCGUUAUGUCCAAGUAACCUUGAGAAGAAGUUCGAAUUGCAGUUUGAGGAUAAAGGUAAAAUUUCAAGCGCAGAAGUAAGUGUUGGGAGGAUCGAAGCAGGAGCCGUCUCUCCGGUCGGUACCAAGUCAACAAUCGAUCAUUUCACUUCGCAUGAGAGGGUUGCCAGCAGAAAGGCUCGAAUCGAGAACAUUUUCCUACUUUGUGGCAAUCACAGAGAGCUUGCCAAGAGUCCACGACGAGGUGACGCACCAUCUUGGGAUACUACUUCGGACAUCCAGGAUGGACAUCUUUCUCCAUUCCGCCCUCGCGACAGAGAUUCAUUGAAAGCGGUACUUGACUCUCUUAGCACUCCGGAGGCACUACAUGCUGCCGCAACGAUUUCCAACGACAAUAGUGAUACAGAGGUCUACGUCAAAUGGGAAUCGACAAAGAUGGCCGCUGGAAAGCCGAUUUGCAGUGUCCACGUUAGCAGCAGCACCAGCCUGGCAGAUCUGCGGACUAAGAUCGGCCUCCACGUUAUCUCUCCAUCGGACUUUUCGUUUUCUCUCGGCGUAAGUAAAACAUGCGCUCUGCUUUCAUGUCUCAUAUUCUAAUGGUGGAGGUUACAGGACUUCGGUGGUGCUCCAAUCGACAGAGCGGCAGAAAAUGCACUUCUCGUGAGAUCGCUACCACUUCAUGAAAAUAAUCCAAACUGGAGGCUGGCGUGCUUGAGAACCUCAGCAACGUCACCAGCGAAAUCAAGCCCGAGCAGCCGGUCAACCCCGUUCAAGCCAGUGGAGAACCGCGCGACGUCAACCAGUCCUCCGAGCGCGUCCAGCAACAAGCUUGUGAAAGUCCGCGGAGGGGAAGAGAACAUCGCGCCUGUAGCAGACAUAGACGUGCUUUCAAGAGGUGCAGUUUUCUUUUGCAAACACUAGACAGAUUUCUUGCUAAGUGCCUGCUCUUUAUGUUCCAGUUUGUGCGAGGUAGCUGUACAGUGGUGUGUGACAAAAACAAGCUUAAAAGCGUCAUUUCCAGGUAGCUCUAAUCGAUAUUACGAGUCCACAGAUCUCCGUUAGCGCGCGUUUUUUGAGCACUUAAUAAGGCAAAAUAGAAAAAUACUGAUUGUGGUCUUCCAAACGCUACGCUAGAACAGAUUAUUUCUUGCAACUAACUGCUGCCUCUUUUUGUGUUACAUGUACAAAAACUUGCGAGUAUUCCUGUACACAGACUAAAAGUCAAGCUAAAACGUCCUCCCCAGGUAGUGUUUGAUAGUACGGGUCUGCUGAAUCCUUGAGGUUCCUCGUUUUGUACAGGGACAAUAGGAAGAAAGCGGCAGCCAUCGCCAGAAAAGAGCUGCCCAGUAUAUAAUAUUGCGUGAAAAUUGUUGGCGCAACCAUCACCUUCGAAAGGAAAGAAUCGAAGGUUAGUAAAAAACCAAAGACACAAUAGUUUUUUUGGCUUACAAUGACAAACUGGAAAACAGAUUGGAGAAUGCGACCAGCGAGCGUGUUGAGGCUGAAGAGAAGAACGUACUCCUUGUUCGCCAGAAAUCUCGCGCACUGGACGUGAACGAUGCAGACGAGAAUCCUGUUAAUCCCCACGAUGACAAUGAACCCAGGAUACGCGACCCAAAGAGUAGCGGUAUACGGCAUUGAUAGGAGAAGAACUCCAAUCAGCACGGAACCAGCGGUGUAGUAGGCAAUGCCGGCGUCCCUGGCAACGAGCACCGAAAGUGGAAUGGCGCACAAUGCGGCUAUGAAGUUUGUGAUCUCAGUGGCCGCCAUGACGUGACCGCUGUAGAUGGAGGUAGAGUCGAUCGCUUCAAACAGGUUGAGCAUGUAUGUGGAAGCCAUGGCGUAUCCCGCGACAUCAAAAGCCCACCUGGUAAGGAAAAAAAAAUCAGACAUCUUUUAGUCCUAACGUUUUGGUGGUUUUCAGAUGAUAGUGACGAUCAAACAAGUAGCAGUACGUACCAAAUUGACAGAAGUUGCACGAAUGGAUUUUCCCAGGUCUCCCUGACGACGGUCGCAAGUCCCUGAUGAUCGCAAGCAAGCAGAGAGAAUUGGAAGCUUUUCUUCUCGAGAAAGUAGCUCGAAUCAAACCUUGAGGCGACAGAUCGAUAGUAGCUCCAGAAUUGGUGGCCUUUUGGAUUUCCUGGGCGCUGCUGGGCAGUCUGAGCACUGAGAGCUCUGCGGGUCUCUGGGCAGGACGAGGCAAAUCAACACGGAGAGAGCAACCUGGUCAAUGGUAAAACUUAUGAAAGUUCUGAUUUUUAAGAGACUUCGCUCACCAUUGACAUGGAUAUGUAGAGAAGCACGUCAAUGGAGAUCCCCUCGUGAAUCAACGCUUGGCCUGGAACAAUCAGUUAAGUCUUUUGAUUUCUCGAAUUUGGUUUUCUCACCGAGCUCGGAAGCACCAAAGUGCGCGAUACUCGACGCUGCUUCCGUGCUGCUGGUCUGGAUUCACUGAGACGGCAUUAGAGACGGCAGAAAGAAUUUCAUUCACGUCGAGCAAAGCGCACCAUAAUCUGGAACUUGUUCUCGGGCACAAGCAAGAACAAGUAUGCCGGGAAGACAACUUCGAUGCCAGCAGCCAUUGAUCGAAAGAGCUGCAACAAAAUUCACAGGGCAGGCAUUAAUACACUCGCCAAGUUUUUGCCUGGGAACAGAAGCAAAACCUGCAUCAACUGUAGCCAAAGAAUCGAAUCUCCCCAUAGCAGCAGCGAGUACUCCACAAAGACCGCUAGAGAAGCUGGGGAGCGAGAAGAAGGCGUAAGAAUCAAGCAGGAAACAAGAAAAUUCUCACCAAGCAUGAGAGUGCCAUGAUACGAGAACAAGGAACAGGCCGGAGCCGCGAGGAAGAUGAAGAGAGAUCGCGAAUACACUCCCACUGGCAGGAUCCUGGUGCUUAUCUGCACAAGAAACAGGGGUGCUAGUGCUAUAAGAUCGAUCGAUUCUCUCGGAGCUACAAGGAAAAAAACAAAAGCUCUACUACGAGGAAAGGGACGGACAGGGACGAGCGAGAGGGGAGAUUUUUUUUUAAGCGUUAAAAGCAACCUCUUGAUUGGUGAUCCCUUUGUUGUGGAUCAUGUAACGAACUUCGUAGGGGAUGACUGGAGCGAAGCGCUGCGCGAAUCGGUAGGCGCUGGGCAGAAGAACCGCGAGGGCGAUUGGCAAUCUGGCUGUUGCUGCUCGUCCUCCGUUUGGCGAUGCGAGGGCCAUGUCUUCUUCGUCGACCAUGGCGCGACGCGACGCGAUGGGAAAGAAAAAUCGAGGAAAUGUGGGCGCGCUACUAAAUUUACUAACAAGCAAAGGUCUUAAAUAUUUGGUCCACGGCGGGGAUUCUCAACUAUAGUCCGACGUGGCCACUACGGUACCGAGGUGGCGGUCCCGAGCCGCCUUUUCCCUUCAUAUCAUCGGGACGAUUCCGUAGGUUCGCGGAUGAAAAGCCGGGAAUAUGUCAUGUCCAUGUGGCACGUGCCCGGCACACGCCACCAUGCGCUGCCGUGUGCCAACGUGGCGCCAAAAUGGAAAGUUUGGAUUGGUGAAGGAACGGUUGGAAUCGCCUUAGUUUAGAUUUCUGAAGAAGUUUUUUCCUUGUGUGGGAGAGAUGGCAAUCGAUCAAGGGACGCAAGAGGUGGUGACAGCGUGGCCACAAUGACCACAACUUGAGGUUGGGUGACCAUUAACACUUAUGCUUGGUUAUUUUAGAAUAUUUUUAAUUGAUAAACAUGUUUAUAAUUCAUAAACUUUCCUAAACACUUUCUAGUAUAUUCUAGUAUAUUUUACCAUUUAAUGGUUUAUAUACAAUAAGAUUAGUUUUGUGUUAUAAAUUAGAUUUUUUAAAAAACUUUUUAUAAUUUAUACUCCAAAACUAUAAAGUAGAAUUAGACUGAAAUCUUGAUUACUAUAAUCAUGCAAUCUAAUUACAUAAAAAUACAUAAUUACAUAGUUAUAAAAAUUAUUUAUUAUAGAAAUCAGUAAUCAAAUAUAAAUUAGACCUUUUACCAAACUUUAUUUUAAAAUAUAAUCAUUUUUCCUCCCACGGUUAAACUAUAAAUAUUUUUUUUAAAAGCUUUAAAAUAUGUGUAGAAGUUUACUGCAUUUACUUAUCAUCAUCAUAGGAAUUUAAAAUAUACUUUAUUUAUUAAAUAAUUAUAAUUAGAUUGUAUUAAAAUUAUAGAUAUAAAUUACACUUGAAGAGAAAUAAAAAAUUUAUACAUAAACAAUAAUACAUCAAAUUUUGUAUAUAAACUAAAAUGAACAAACAAGUUUUUACAUUAAAUUUUAAGUAAAAAAAAUUUAAUCUUAUCUGAAAUAUUCAAGACAAAAGAAACUUAAAAAUAAAAUUUUUACAAGGAAAAUAAAUAAAAUCAAUAAUUAACUAAAAUAAACCUUUCAAAACAUGUAAUUUAGUUAAAAUUAAAUAAAAAUAAUAAUAUAAUUUUAAAGUUAAUAUUAAUUUUUAAUAUAUUUUAUAAUAAAUCCUAUUUGUAUAGUGUGUAAAGGGCUUUUACAAUUCAUAAAUUUCAAUAAAGAUGUCAAAAAAUCUUGAUUUCUAUGUUAAAAUUGUAGUUAAAGUGAUCAAAUUAACCAUAGGUUAUUGGCUACUAGGUGAUCCGUUACUUCAAUGAAAAAUAACAUCAUUAUUAAAUAUUAAUUAAUUAGGGGUUUAUGUGUUACAUUAUACUUAUUUAUGCAUAUAGAUUUAAAAUUUAAAUUUGGUCGUAUGGCCAUAAAUUUACAUUUAAAAAAAUCCACCAAAAUUUUAUCAUUUAUCAUCAUGCUACAAAAGAAUGUUUUUUAUACUAAAAUAAUUUUUAAAAUAUGUAAUCUAUAUAAUUUUAAAAUAUAAAAAUUUAAAAUAAAAAACCUUUCAAGUUUUAUAUUAUGUUUAAAUUUCUUUCUUCCACUUAUCAAUUAGUUAAAUUUUACAAUUUAUUAAAAAAAAAGUUAAAAUUUUAUUUUAAUACUUGACUUAUAAUGGUGUUAAUUUAAAUAGAACAUACUCAUUAAAUUCUCAAGCCCUUUCAACAAACGUGAGCGUUAAGUGAUUGAUUGUGCCGAACCAGUAAACCCUAAACUCUAAACCUAGUUGGAUUGUUUAGUAUUAGUAAUAAUUCAGUUGAUAAAUUAUAUUUUAAUUAAAGAAUUGAACUUUUUUUGUUUAAAACAAAUUUUAUAUGAAGUUGGAGAAAUAUUUAAGCAUAAAGAUAAACCACUUUAAAAUAAAUAUUAUUAUAUUAUAUUUAUUGUAUAUAUAUACAUUGGAUAUAUGUCAAAAUAAAAUUUAGUAAGAGUUCCAAAAACUUACUUAAAUAGUGAUUUUUCUAUUAUACUUCACAAAAAACUUUCUAAGAUGCAACUACUUUUUUUUGUAUAAUAAAUUUGUUUUUAUAGUAUUUAUAUUGUAAGUGAUUAUAAUCCAAUUGUACUCUUUUAUACUUUGGAGUGUUAGAGUAUAAGUUUCAUUUACAAAAUAUGUACAUGAUUGUGUUUAUAUAAAAAAAAUUAUAUAAUUUUUUCAUUAUAUUAAAGAAUAAACUAAGAAGUGUUUAGGGGAGUUUAUAUGAGUUAUAAAAAUGUUUAAAAAUUAUAAAUACAAAAUUAAUUUAAAUACAUAACAACUGAAAAAUGAGAGAUAUGUAAAAUUCUUUAUAUCCAUUGCAGAAUUAUGAGAAAAUAGAGUAUGUAGUCAAAAUACCAUGCUAAAGGCAAAUCUCAUAAUAAGUAUUUAGAGCUACAAUAUAAAGAUGGUGUGAGUGCAAGGGAAUUUACCUUGCAGUUUUUGGAAUUUAGAUAUGUAAGGCCCAAUCCUUGCAUCCACACUCGUUUGUAGAAGACCUCACCAAAGUAAAUUCAGCUGUACACUUGGAACUGUGUCUCUUUGGUCUAAAUGAAUCAAACCGAUAAUGCAAUGAAACUUAUCUAGAGAUACAUACGUAUCCAUUAUUAUAUAUAUACGUGGCGGAAGUAAUCAAAUUGUGACCCACAAGUGUCAGUCAGGAGUUUGCUUCUAAAGUCCCCGGUAGGUCUUUUUUUUGUUAUUCCUCGUUUUUGUGCUCCAUUCGUCUCAAUGGAAGAUAGACAGGCCGCGGCUUUGCGCAGGUUACAGGUGCUCUCGCCGGGAUUCCUCCCCGACGUUGGUCUGUCGGGUGGAAGUCUGAGACAAGCUCCCUGCUCUUCCUCUCCAUCCAAGCAGGAAGAUAGCAGCGAUCUUGUCUCCGUGCCGCCGCAUUUGUUUCGGGACGCUCCAGUCUCGUCAAGAAGUCAGGUAAGCUGCCGAGAGGCACAAAGAACAACUUGAAAAGCCUGUGGAUCGAUCUGUGUAGUAUGAAUCACUUUACUCCCAAUCCCUGGGAGAUCCCGACGGGUUUUGGGGAGGAGAAGCGAAGUGUUUGUUUUGGAAGAAUCCAUGGGACGCUGACCGUCCCGUCUGUGCUUACAACUUCGACAAACGCAAAGGGCCCAUCUUUGUGGAGGUAUUGCGGGACUCUUUUCUCUUUUCGUUUCUCUGCGGCCUUAGUGCUGAUGAAAUGCAGUGGUUCCGAGGAGGCUAUACGAAUGUUUGCUACAACGCCAUCGAUCGACACGUUGACUCUGGAAGAGGAAACCAGGUCGCUGUUUUGUGGGAGGGAAACGAUCCCAGAUUCAAUGCCCGCAUCACUUACAGUGAAUUGCUUAGAUACGUUUGUCAGGUUCGCGAAAAGAUUUGUGUUUUUUCACUCUUGCUCGAUGAUUUUUUUUUUCUACCAGGUUGCAAACUUGCUGCGCUCGCGAGGAGUAAAGAAAGGUGACCGGGUCUGCAUUUAUAUGCCCAUGAUCUUGGAACUUCCCGUGGCGAUGCUCGCCUGUGCUCGCAUUGGUGCUAUUCAUUCCGUAAGUCACAGGUGUUGUCCUUCUUGUUUGUUCUGUCCUUGUCUUUUCAUAUGGAUCGUCAAAAAAAUGCUUGCUUUCUCCUGCUUCAGGUUGUCUUUGCUGGAUUCUCCGCCGAGGCGCUUUCAGGCCGAAUCCUUGACUGCCAGUCGCAAGUAGUGCUAACUUGCUCGGCGGUUCGAAGAGGAGACAAGAUGCUCCUACUCAAGGAAAUAGUGGACGAAGCUUUGCAGCUGUGCUCGCAAAGAUCAGGAUUCUCCGUUGGUACGUUGAUCCUUUCUCUUUCGAUUACAAAAGCGAAACGUCCUGUUCUACAGAGACGUGCGUAGUCUAUGAUAACGAGACUGCAGUACCGCGCAAGAAUGUAGCUUGGCAAGCUCGAGACAUUUGGUGGCAGGUACUAAAAACCACCAUCGUUUUUUAAGAAAACUUCUCCCUCGAAUCCAAACAGGACGCGGUGAGGGAGUGUAGCACAAGUGCAGAAGUAGAAUGGAUGGAAUCAGAGGAGCCAUUGUUUAUGCUCUACACAAGUGGUUCUACAGGAAAGCCAAAGGUAAGAAAGUGUGUGAUUUUUCUUUUCUCACACCAUUCUAAAUGCCUCGAAACAAAACCAGGGUGUUCUUCACACUGUUGGAGGCUAUAUGGUGUACGCUUCCACGACUUUCAAGUACUGCUUUGCUCCGCGCAAGGAAGAUAUUUUCUGGUGAUUUUUCUCGUCAUGGUUCCACCAGCGCGACAACUCCUCUAAGAACUUCUUCGCAGGUGUACUGCCGACUGUGGAUGGAUAACGGGCCACACAUACGUCGUGUAUGGGCCCUUGCUGAAUGGUACAACCUCUCUAGUCUACGAAGGGGUAUUUAGUCCUUGCUUUCUCUUUUAGACUUUUUUCUCAACCUUUUUCUUUUUUUCCUGUGAUUCAAGGUCCCGGCCUGGCCUCAUCCGGGUCGCUGCUGGGAAAUAGUAGACAAGUACAAAGUCACCGCAUUCUAUACCGCACCGACGCUCAUUCGAUCCUUGCAGGCGUACGAUAAAGAGGUAAAGCACUUGCAUCUCACCUAUUAGUGAUUCCUGACUUUGCGUCUCGUGUCAGCAUGUCAAGAAAUUCUCGCGGUCCAGCCUUCGGCUGCUAGCCACGGCCGGAGAGCCAAUCAAUCCAAAAGCUUGGAACUGGUACUUCGACGUGGUUGGCGAUAGAAGAUGUCCGAUCUUAGAUACAUGGUGGCAAACGGAGACCGGCGGAGUUAUGCUCACGCCUCUACCCGGUGCGUGGCCUUUGAAACCAGGAUCGGCAACUCUUCCUUUCUUUGGAGUGGAGGUAAAGUUCUUCGAGUAGUGUGAUCUUCGAGCUAAAAUACUAAGUUUCUUGUUUCUGUUCUUCCUUGAUGCAGCCAGUAGUUUUGGAUCAACAAGGCAAGGAGCUGAAGGGCCCUUGCGAGGGCUACCUGUGUAUACGGCAUCCCUGGCCAGGAAUCGCCCGGACGAUUUACGGUGACCACAAGAGAUACGAAGAGACGUACUUUAGCACCUGGCUGAGUUACUACAACACCGGAGACGGGUGCCGGCGUGAUGAAAAUGGCUACAUUACUAUCACGGGACGCGUCGAUGAUGUUAUCAAUGUCAGGUAAUCGGAUUCUACGCGAGAGCUUUCGCUAAGAUAUGUAUGUGAUGUUUUUUUUGUUCGGAUUUCUAUCAGUGGUCACAGAAUAAGUACCUCAGAGGUGGAAGCUGCUCUGGCUUCUCAUCCCGGAUGUGCUGAAGUUGCUGUGGUGGGAUUUCCACACGAGGUGAGAUGCCACGGCAAUCGAGCGAGAAUUGUUUAUCAGAUUGCUUUUGUUGCAGGUGAAGGGAGAGGGAAUCUACGCCUAUAUCAUCCAGAUGGACGGGCAUACAGACAGAGGGGAGCUGAUCAAGGCCUUGAAAGUUCUAGCCAGAAAAGAGGUAUACUUUUUAGUCUACUCUGAUGAAAGUUUCGAUUUUGUCCUUCCGUUGCUCUGUAGAUUGGAGGAUUUGCUGUUCCGGACGUGCUACAUUUCGUUCCGGGACUCCCCAAGACGCGAAGUGGGAAAGUCAUGCGAAACAUUCUUCGUAAAAUCGCCUCGAACAGAACUGACCUGGUAUGUAAACAAUGCAUUGAGGUAGAUCAUAUGAGUUUUCGUUCGUUUUUGCCGCAGGGCGACACAAGUACGCUGGCCGACCCGGCUGUAGUUUCAAAGAUCAUUAGCUCCAAGAUGUAAAACAAAGAACACCAAUGUAAAGUGAUACCAUUUUCCAUCCAUUUGUUUGUGAUAAGGAACUUAUCUUCGCCAAAACAGGAUUUUGAAGCGUCGUAGGGCUCUUGCACAGUGGAACGAGGUAAAACUCCGAACUUCUUCUCGCAAUGCUCCAAUCUUCGCGGUCCCAGCCAUGGAUUUAGCUGUGGCGCCAUCGACAAACUCGAAACCCAGCGAGCUUCCACAGUCACGAGAAAAGAAAACAACAGUGGCAGGAAAAUCCAUCUCCAGUUUCCUAGUAGCACUCAGGGAAUGCUCCAAUGCGAGGGACUUGAGAAGUGGAAAAAAUCUCCAUGUCGAGGCGAUCAACAAAGGCUGGAGCUCGACCACUUACGUAUCAAACAGCCUUGUCAACAUGUACGCAAAGUGUGGAAGCUUGGCCGAUGCUCGCGAGGUGUUCGACAAGAUGCAAACUCGCAGUGUGGUCUCUUGGAACUCCCUGGUGCUGGGAUACGUCGACAAUGGCGAGCCAAGAGUGGCGCUGGAGCUCUUUGAAAAGAUGCUAGCGGGGAGGAGAUGCGAGCCAAGCGCACUGACUUUCAUGGCGGCGCUCAAAGCUUGCGCGGCUAUGGCGGCCAGCGAGCACAGCCACAGGGUGGAAGGGAAGUCUCUCAAGCUUCGGUGCUUGGAGAUUGGCAUGGUGGUGUACUCUCGAGCCGCCAUGGCCGGUUUCGACACAGACAUCCUCGUCGCCACCACGCUCGUCAACAUGUUUGCAAAGUGUGGGAGCUUGGACGACGCUCGGAGGAUCUUCGACGCCAUGCCGAACCACAGCGUCGUCUCCUGGAACGCCAUGCUGCUUGGCUGCGUCGAGAAUGGUCGCGCGAAGCUGGCGCUUGAUUUGUUCUCCAGGAUGCUGCAAACCAAGACUCUCGCGAACUCGAGGACUUUCGUCGCCGCUUUCAAGGCUUGUGCUGCUCUAGCCGACGAAGAACAGGGCCGGGAACUCGAUGAUCGCAGUGGGAAGAUACUCAAGCUAAAGUCGCUGGAGACAGCCAUGGCGCUCCACCUGCUCGCCGCAAGCUCCCGCGCCUGCGACCUCUCCGCCAACUUGUUCGUGGUGAGCGGCUUGGUCGACAUGUACGCGAAGUCUGGCUGCAUGGAUCUCGCGCGCCGCCAGUUCGAUGCCUUCCAAGCUCGUCACGACGUGGUGUCAACCACGGCCUUGCUACUGGGAUACGCCGAGAACGGCGAGGAGGAGAGAGCGCUGGAUCUCUUCUCCAAACUCCCGGGAGACGUGGAGCCAGGCACGCCAACUUUCGUGGCGGCGAUCAAGGCGUGUACCGGCAUGGCGGCGAGGGAGGAGCCCCGGCAGCUCGGCAAGCUCGCGAUCAAAGCUCGGUCUCUCGAAACCGGCAUGGCGAUCCAUGCUCGACUGAUCGCCUCGCGGUUGCUCGAUCUGGACAAGUUCGCGGCGAGCAGCCUCGUGGACAUGUACGCGAAGUGUGGCAGCGCGCUCGACUCAGGGCGCGCUUUCGCCGCGAUCGAGCUUCCGGACACCGUCGCGUGGAACGCGCUCAUCCUCAGCUACGCGGACACCGGCGAGGAAUCCCUGGCGCUCGAAUCCCUCGCGCGGAUGGAGCUCGCCGCCGCGGAUCGCUGCUCGUGCCGCCCGGAUUCCAGGACCUACGCCGCCGCGCUCAAGGCCUGCGGCAAUCUGGCCUCGCUCGCGCAAUGCCGGAGGAUCCACUCGGCGCUUCUCCGGCGCGGCUUUCGCGAAGAACACGACGAGGUCCUCGCGAAUUGCCUGGUGGACGUGUACGGCAGGUGUGGCGGCAUGAGCGACGCGCGCCGGGUGUUUGACUCUAUGCCCGCCGCCGGUCUGGUGACGUGGAACACGCUCCUGGCUGGCUACGGCCGACAGGGGGACACCGACAUGGUGUUCCGGAGCUUGCGGAGCAUGUCGCGCGAGGGCGGGCACGCCGACACGGUGACGCUCACGUCGCUCCUGGCGGCGUGCAGCCACGCGGGGCUGGUGGGCAAGGCUCGCCAGAUCUUUGGAGCGAUCGCGACUGGCGGGGGAAACCAUGAUGGAGUGUUUAGCAGGAUCUCUCCGGAGAUCGGGCACUACCACGCGAUGAUCGACAUGCUGGGCAGGGCGAACGAGCUCGAGGAGGCGGCGGCGAUGGUGGCGGCGAUGCCAUUCCAGCCCAGCGCCGUGACGUGGAUGAUCCUGCUCAACGCGUGCGCGAAGUGGCGGAACGUCACGGUGGGGCGGCGGGCGUUUGAGUCGCUGGUACCGCUCGGUGGCGCCGCCGCCGCCGCCGCCGCGCACGUGCUAAUGUCCAACAUCUACGAGAGCGAGCCUCCUCUUGACACGUGGCAGCCCCAGCAGCUGCCAAGUGUUCUAGGGGUUAGUCGGACGUGGCCUUUAAAUAUCUGCCACGUCAUGGACACUUUGCCCUAAAAGCUCUGAUUCGUUUGCUGCCACCAUAUCGCCCCAGGGAGCACUAGCAAAAGGGACAACUCGUACCCAUUCGGAUUGUCACUUCACCGUCUCUUAAAUCUCUGCUCUCUUUUUCUCCCCUCUCUCUAUCUCUCUCUCUCUCCUCCAGAUCAACUUGCACUUCAUCUUUGGUUUCUACUCUAUGAUCAUUUUUGUGUGUGGGCGAAGAUCUUUGGUGCCGAAAGAGACAACGGGACCCCGCCUCUCGCCCCAGCGCAUUUCCACGCGAGUCGAUUACCUGGGCACCACACGUUGUUGAAAUCGACCAUUUGUAUGUAAGUCCUCCAUGCUACGCGGAAUCGGUCUUGAGGCGAACGCAGCCCACAUUUUACAAUGCAGUUGAGGAUAACGGGAAAUCAACUCCACACCUUUUCUAGAGCCCUGGUUUUUGCAAGAAAGAUCCAAGUUUUUGACGAUGAAAAACACGGAAACUGCGUGACUUUAAGUUUUUCAAUCGCAUUGUAUCACCGCAAGACUAUAAAUAGCAUAUAGAUAGAUCGAUAAAUAGUAUAUCGUGGUUACAUUCAUUCAAUCAUUUGAAGUGCUCGCGUACACCCAAACCCUUCGCACUAGUACUGCCCGACGAUCUUUGCUGCGCCUAUAAUUCUCUAUACUUCUAUAUAUUUCUUUUCUUUUUUGUGGGCUAUAGAAUUUCACACAUUGUUGCUAUACUAUUCUACUCCUUGUAUCAGAUCUUCCAUACAAGGGAUAAUCCGAAAAGAGAUAACAAUUCCUUGGAGAAGAUUCAAUGAAACUAUAUUAAAGUUUUGAGACCAAUCUUUGUUCGUCAUUGUCGUCAUCUCGGCUAUAUCAUGGCUGGAAGAACGCAUACAUAUAACCAGAGGAAAAACACGGAAACAGAAAUUCGAAGUAAAGAACGAGGAAAGGAAAAAAGAAAAAACGCAAGAGAGACAAACUUCCGCUAGAGCCUGGCUAAAGAUCGCCGAGAAAUCGGUGAUUGAUUUUUAUCAAUCCAACUCGGAAUCCAUGUCGAUGGUGCUGCCGGUGCUGGCGGUGGUGGACAGGAAAGUGGUGGUGGCGGAGGAGUCGCCGCUGGGGCUGGAUUCCAGCGGCGGCGAUGGCUCCUCCUCAGUCUCGGCCUCCUCUAGCUCCUGAUCGGUCUCGCCGCCCAAUUCGUCGUCCGAAUCGUGGCGGAGCAUUUGGAGGACGAGCCUCCCCUGGCUGCGGAUGGGCUGGAAGAGCAUGAGCUGCGCGCCGUGCGCCGCCUUGAUCUCGUGGAGCACCACGCGAUUGUUGCUGCGAUUGGCCGAGAGGAGCGUCCACGGCACCUGGAGCGGCAGAUGGUUGUAGCUCGUGCGCGCCAGCGAUGGCAUCGGCGGCGGGAAUUCCCCCUUUCUGAAGCGGUGGGGGUGCUGAUCGUCCUCCGCGCUGCUCUUCUCCAUUUGGGGCAGCUGGAUCACCGAAUCGACCAUCACGGGACCUCUCAUUCUUGCCUCCUUUUCUUUUUCUCCUCCCUCGCUAGCUGGAUCGAUCAGACGAUCCGGGCGCGCGGCGCGACUGGAUUGGAUUUCAAUCGGUUAAAAAACAGAGGAAGAUAGAGGAGCGCCAGGCCAGAGGGGAUCCCAGAAUCGAUCCAAUCGCGCAAAGGGAAUCCAAUCCAAUAGACUGGGAACUGUGAUGGGCGCUACUACUGCAUUGAUCGCUCACGCUCUUGGGUGAAAGACACAGGAAGAAAACUAAGUGGACUACCUAGUAGCAUAUGACUGGUGGUAUAUAUAGGAAUAUCCCCCCGGCGGCUAGGGCUUUGCUUUCACUCUCCCUAUAAUUCAAACCAAGAGAAUCAGUGUCAGGGCCAAAACUAGCAUGCUUCAUGACAACACGAAACCAUGUAUCAUAGCCUAAUUCUUCUAACGGAUUUUCC
rnacentral:lncRNA from 1 species